GACGGAGGAUGCAAGUGUUAUCCGGAAUCACUGGGCGUAAAGCGUCUGUAGGUGGUUUAGUAAGUCGACUGUUAAAUCUUGAAGCUUAACUUCAAAACUGCAUUCGAAACUAUUAGACUUGAGUAUAGUAAGGGUAAAGGGAAUUUCCAGUGGAGCGGUGAAAUGCGUAGAUAUUGGAAAGAACACCAAUGGCGAAGGCACUUUACUGGGCUAUUACUGACACUCAGAGACGAAAGCUAGGGUAGCAAAUGGG
rnacentral:rRNA from 1 species